UGCAGUCUGCAACUCGACUGCAUGAAGCUGGAAUCGCUAGUAAUCGCGAAUCAGCAUGUCGCGGUGAAUACGUUCCCGGGUCUUGUACACACCGCCCGUCACACCAUGGGAGUCGGAAAUGCCCGAAGCCAGUGACCCAACCUUUAAGGAGGGAGCUGUCGAAGGCAGGUCUGGUAACUGGGGUGAAGUCGUAACAAGGUAAC
rnacentral:rRNA from 1 species